GAAUUUUCCUAAAGUUUUCUUUAGUUGAGAGAAAACCGUCGCUUGGUUAACGUCGCUUUUUUUUAGUAAGAAAAAAAUCUUAGUUUUUUCCCAAAACGAAUUUCUUUUAGCAACAACGAUCAAAGUUCUUUUAAUUUUCUAAACGUUUAAUUUUAAAAAAAUUAAAAUAAUAACAAACUGCUAAAAAGUUAAGCGAUUGGACGAAAUUUGAGCCAAUUUAACGAUCGAUAUUUAGGAGAGCUUUAAUAAGAAAUUCUUGUUGGAGAUCUGUUAAAUUUAAAUUCGAACCAAAAAUUCAAAAAAAUAAAAAUCCAAAAAUUUAUUUCGGAAUAUUUUUAUUCGAACAACAGCCAUCUUCGCAUCUUUAAUAUUUUCGUCGUUGUCGUCAAACAGGCGUUUUAUAUAUUUAAUAAUAAAAAUUAAUAUAUAAAACAACAGCAACAACAACAAAAUUAACAAAUUUCGUCGAAAUCUAAAUCGAAAACAUUUCAAGUUAACUACUAAUUAAAAAAU